UACGAAGGGGGCUAGCGUUGUUCGGAAUCACUGGGCGUAAAGCGCACGUAGGCGGACUUUCAAGUCAGGGGUGAAAUCCCGGGGCUCAACCUCGGAAUUGCCUUUGAUACUGUAAGUCUCGAGUCCGGAAGAGGUGGGUGGAAUUCCUAGUGUAGGGGUGAAAUUCGUAGAUAUUAGGAAGAACACCGGUGGCGAAGGCGGCCCACUGGUCCGGUACUGACGCUGAGGAGCGAAAGCGUGGGGAGCAAACAGG
rnacentral:rRNA from 1 species